rnacentral:rRNA from 1 species
UCCAGACUCCUACGGGAGGCAGCAGUGAGGAAUAUUGGUCAAUGGGCGCGAGCCUGAACCAGCCAAGUAGCGUGAAGGAUGACUGCCCUACGGGUUGUAAACUUCUUUUAUAAAGGAAUAAAGUGAGGCACGUGUGCCUUUUUGUAUGUACUUUAUGAAUAAGGAUCGGCUAACUCCGUGCCAGCAGCCGCGGUAAUACGGAGGAUCCGAGCGUUAUCCGGAUUUAUUGGGUUUAAAGGGAGCGUAGAUGGGUUGUUAAGUCAGUUGUGAAAGUUUGCGGCUCAACCGUAAAAUUGCAGUUGAAACUGGCAGUCUUGAGUACAGUAGAGGUGGGCGGAAUUCGUGGUGUAGCGGUGAAAUGCUUAGAUAUCACGCAGAACUCCGAUUGCGAAGGCAGCAUACCGGCGCUCAACUGACGCUCAUGCACGAAAGUGUGGGUAUCGAACAGGAUUAGAUACCCGAGUAC